GGUUGUAUAGUGUAGCGGUUAUCACUCCGGAUUCUGAAUCUCCAUCAGAACAUUCCGGCAACCCCGGUUCGAUUCCGGGUACGACCU
rnacentral:tRNA from 1 species